rnacentral:pre_miRNA from 1 species
UCUUAUGGAUGAGCAAAGAAAGUGGUUUCUUAAAAUGGAAUCUACUCAUAGUGUAGAUGAUGUGAA